UACGGAGGGGGCUAGCGUUGUUCGGAAUUACUGGGCGUAAAGCGCACGUAGGCGGACUGAUCAGUCAGGGGUGAAAUCCCGGGGCUCAACCCCGGAACUGCCUUUGAUACUGUCAGUCUGGAGGUCGAGAGAGGUGAGUGGAAUUCCGAGUGUAGAGGUGAAAUUCGUAGAUAUUCGGAGGAACACCAGUGGCGAAGGCGGCUCACUGGCUCGAUACUGACGCUGAGGUGCGAAAGCGUGGGGAGCAAACAGG
rnacentral:rRNA from 1 species